rnacentral:rRNA from 1 species
CUCAACCUCUUCGAGCCGUUGAAACUGGUUUUCUUGAGUGAGCGAGAAGUAUGCGGAAUGCGUGGUGUAGCGGUGAAAUGCAUAGAUAUCACGCAGAACUCCGAUUGCGAAGGCAGCAUACCGGCGCUCAACUGACGCUCAUGCACGAAAGUGUGGGUAUCGAACAGGAUUAGAUACCCUGGUAGUCCACACAGUAAACGAUGAAUACUAAUUGUUCGGGGAGAAUGAUCCCUGAGUGAUACAGCGAAAGCGUUAAGUAUUCCACCUGGGGAGUACGCCGGCAACGGUGAAACUCAAAGGAAUUGACGGGGGCCCGCACAAGCGGAGGAACAUGUGGUUUAAUUCGAUGAUACGCGAGGAACCUUACCCGGGCUCAAACGACACAGGAAUACUUUUGAAAGGAGGUAGCUCUACGGAGUCUGUGUCGAGGUGCUGCAUGGUUGUCGUCAGCUCGUGCCGUGAGGUGUCGGCUUAAGUGCCAUAACGAGCGCAACCCCCAUCGCCAGUUACCAGCAAGUCAAGUUGGGGACUCUGGCGAGACUGCCGGCGCAAGCUGUGAGGAAGGCGGGGAUGACGUCAAAUCAGCACGGCCCUUACGUCCGGGGCGACACACGUGUUACAAUGGCAGGUACAGAGAGAAGCAAUGCGGCGACGCAAAGCGGAACUUGAAAGCCUGUCUCAGUUCGGAUUGGAGUCUGCAACUCGACUCCAUGAAGCUGGAUUCGCUAGUAAUCGCGCAUCAGCCAUGGCGCGGUGAAUACGUUCCCGGGCCUUGUACACACCGCCCGUCAAGCCAUGGAAGCCGGGAGUGCCUGAAGUGAGCAACCGCAAGGAGCGCCCUAAGGUAAAACUGGUGACUGGGGCUAAGUCGUAACAAGGUAGCCGUAA